rnacentral:lncRNA from 1 species
GCACGACCCUUCUUUACCAUUUUGGAUAGUGUCUGGAACGCACGAACAAAACACCGCUAUUCGGAUAUAACGAUGGAUUAUUUUGGACCAAACCAACAUUUGUUAUUGAAGUAGCAGUCCUGGGAGUGCAUUCUGACAAAGACAACAAAAGGUCCCCAAGGCACCACUGGUGGGAAAUAUACUGUACGCUAAGUGACGACAAAAGCAUGGAGCAUUAUCAAAUGCCACUGUUCAUUUGUUGUCGUGCUGCCUCAGUGUAUAGGAGAGGACAGAGGAACAACAGAUCAACAGACACUCCACCUACACCAGGAGGACCUACAUCCACACCCACACCCCAACAAAAUCAACACCCCAAACCAAUGGGCCCACGCCACAUAUAUGCCCUGUCAGAUCAGA